rnacentral:lncRNA from 1 species
AGUCGCAUGCAGGACAGCACCGCGUGCGGCAGCUGCUCUGGUGGCCUCCUGCUUACCCGGCCCUCCACUUUACCGUUAGCACGGAGUGCGGCACCCUGCUUGGGCCUUUCGGCUCUGCCUCCCCUGCCCGUCACGGCGGGUCACGACAUCGGCCAGGACGCAGCAGAAGGGACAAGACACGCAAAGAAGAUGGCGCACCCACCUCGGCACCGAAGGCCAGUGCGACCUCCCGGGAGCAGGCGGGCCAGCACGGGCCUUCCCGGAGGAGACAGCUAAGCCGAGACCUGGGACUGCAGAGGAGAAACAAGGAGGAGGCAGGCGGGGCCCGGUGCCCUCCUCGUCUGCCGUGCCGGGUGGACGGUCUGCUCGCCUGUCUGCGUGACGAAACUGAGGCACAAAGACGCGCUAUGCCAGCGGCGGGUAUAGCAAGGGCUCCCUCCGCGCCACGUGUUGCCAUCCACCACACAGGAAUGACCGUCUCCGUGUCAUAGAUGGGAAACCAGGACGUGUAGGCAUCAGAAAAGGCGGCGAGAAUCCUGAGUGGAAGGGAUCUGAACUUUCAUGUCAUGUACUUCGAGAAGAGGGUAGAUGAGACUCAAGAAUGAUAAUCAGACCAGUCCUACUCCUCCCAACCCCCAAAAGAUGGCAUUUACACAUCACGGAAACCUAUGGGUCUAACAG